GAUGAACGCUGGCGGCGUGCCUAAUACAUGCAAGUCGAGCGAACAGACGAGGAGCUUGCUCCUUUGACGUUAGCGGCGGACGGGUGAGUCACACGUGGAUAACCUACCUAUAAGACUGGGAUAACUUCGGGAAACCGGCGCUAAUACCGGAUAAUAUAUUGAACCGCAUGGUUCAAUAGUGAAAGACGGUUUUGCUGUCACUGAUAGAUGGAUCCGCGCCGCAUUAGCUAGUGGGUACGGUUACGGCUUACCAAGGCAACGAUGCGUAGCCGACCUGAGAGGGUGGUCGUCCACACUGGAACUGAGACACGGUUCAGACUCCUACGGGAGGCAGCAGUAGGGAAUCUUCCGCAAUAGGCGAAAGCCUGACGGAGUGACGCCGCGUGUGUGGUGCAGGUCUUCGGAUCGUGAAGAUCUGUUUUUAGGGAAGAACAAAUGUGUAAGUGACUAUGGACGUCUUGACGGUACCUAAUCAGAAAGCCUCGGCUAACUACGUG
rnacentral:rRNA from 1 species